CUGAGUGGAGCCAUCCUUGAAAUACCACCCUGGUAAUAUUGAGGUUCUAACCCAGGUCCGUAAUCCGGAUCGGGGACAGUGUAUGGUGGGUAGUUUGACUGGGGCGGUCUCCUCCUAAAGAGUAACGGAGGAGUACGAAGGUGCGCUCAGCGUGGUCGGAAAUCACGCGUAGAGUAUAAAGGCAAAAGCGCGCUUAACUGCGAGACCGACAAGUCGAGCAGGUACGAAAGUAGGUCUUAGUGAUCCGGUGGUUCUGUAUGGAAGGGCCAUCGCUCAACGGAUAAAAGGUACUCUGGGGAUAACAGGCUGAUACCGCCCAAGAGUUCAUAUCGACGGCGGUGUUUGGCACCUCGAUGUCGGCUCAUCUCAUCCUGGGGCUGAAGCAGGUCCCAAGGGUAUGGCUGUUCGCCAUUUAAAGAGGUACGCGAGCUGGGUUUAGAACGUCGUGAGACAGUUCGGUCCCUAUCUACCGUGGG
rnacentral:rRNA from 1 species